CGGAGGCGUACAGGUACCCGUAAGUCUUAACCUGUACCCGUGGGGCGGGGCUUGGUCUGUGGGAUCUGUGGCGAGCGGGUGAGUAACACGUGAGCAACCUGCCCCUGACUCUGGGAUAAGCGCUGGAAACGGCGUCUAAUACUGGAUAUGUGACGUGACCGCAUGGUCUGCGUUUGGAAAGAUUUUUCGGUUGGGGAUGGGCUCGCGGCCUAUCAGCUUGUUGGUGAGGUAAUGGCUCACCAAGGCGUCGACGGGUAGCCGGCCUGAGAGGGUGACCGGCCACACUGGGACUGAGACACGGCCCAGACUCCUACGGGAGGCAGCAGUGGGGAAUAUUGCACAAUGGGCGGAAGCCUGAUGCAGCAACGCCGCGUGAGGGAUGACGGCCUUCGGGUUGUAAACCUCUUUUAGCAGGGAAGAAGCGAAAGUGACGGUACCUGCAGAAAAAGCGCCGGCUAACUACGUGCCAGCAGCCGCGGUAAUACGUAGGGCGCAAGCGUUAUCCGGAAUUAUUGGGCGUAAAGAGCUCGUAGGCGGUUUGUCGCGUCUGCUGUGAAAUCCCGAGGCUCAACCUCGGGCCUGCAGUGGGUACGGGCAGACUAGAGUGCGGUAGGGGAGAUUGGAAUUCCUGGUGUAGCGGUGGAAUGCGCAGAUAUCA
rnacentral:rRNA from 1 species